rnacentral:misc_RNA from 1 species
AACGCACCUUGCGCUCCUUGGUAUUCCGAGGAGCAUGCCUGUUCGAGUGUCAUUAAAUUAUCAAACCUUUAUUACUUUUGGUAAAGGCUUUGGAAGUGGGGGGUUACUUUGCUGGCUUCAACAAAAAGAAGUCUGCUCCCCUUAAAUGUAUUAGCUGGUACAAAAGGCCAUCUAUUGGUGUGAUAAUUAUCUACGCCGCUUGAUGAACUUGUUUAUUGUACUGCUUCAAAUUGUCUCUUUGGGGACGAAUUCUAUGACUUAUUUGACCUCGAAUCAGGUAGGACUACCCGCUGAACUUAA